rnacentral:rRNA from 1 species
AGUGAACGCUGGCGGUAGGCCUAACACAUGCAAGUCGAACGGCAGCACAGGAGAGCUUGCUCUCUGGGUGGCGAGUGGCGGACGGGUGAGGAAUACAUCGGAAUCUACUCUGUCGUGGGGGAUAACGUAGGGAAACUUACGCUAAUACCGCAUACGACCUACGGGUGAAAGUGGGGGACCGCAAGGCCUCACGCGAUUGAAUGAGCCGAUGUCGGAUUAGCUAGUUGGCGGGGUAAAGGCCCACCAAGGCGACGAUCCGUAGCUGGUCUGAGAGGAUGAUCAGCCACACUGGAACUGAGACACGGUCCAGACUCCUACGGGAGGCAGCAGUGGGGAAUAUUGGACAAUGGGCGCAAGCCUGAUCCAGCCAUACCGCGUGAGUGAAGAAGGCCCUCGGGUUGUAAAGCUCUUUGUUGGGAAAGAAAUCCUGUUGGCUAAUACCCGGCGGGGAUGACGGUACCCAAAGAAUAAGCACCGGCUAACUUCGUGCCAGCAGCCGCGGUAAU